UACGUAGGGUGCGAGCGUUAAUCGGAAUUACUGGGCGUAAAGCGUGCGCGGGCGGUUCGUUGUGUCGGCGGUGAAAGCCCCGGGCUUAACCUGGGAAUGGCCGUUGAAACUGGCGAACUGGAGUGUGGCAGAGGGGGGUGGAAUUCCGCGUGUAGCAGUGAAAUUCGUAGAUAUUCGCAAGAACACCAGUGGCGAAGGCGGCUCACUGGCCCGAUACUGACGCUGAGGCGCGAAAGCGUGGGGAGCAAACAGGG
rnacentral:rRNA from 1 species